GUUGGGGUGUGUUGAGGGACCAGACAGCCCCUGGUUGGGGAGUGUUGAGGGACCAGACAGCCCCUGGUUGGGGAGUGUUGAGGGACCAGACAGCCCCAGGUUGGGAUGGGGAGUGCUGAGGGACCAGACAGCCCCAGGUUGGGAUGGGAGUGUUGAGGGACCAGACAGCCCCAGGUUGGGGUGGGGAGUGUUGAGGGACCAGACAGUCCCUGGUUGGCAUGGGGAGUGUUGAGGGACCAGACAGACCCAGGUUGGGAUGGGGAGUGUUGAGGGACGAGACAGCCCCUGGUUGGGGUGGGGAGUGUUGAGGGACCAGACAGCCCCUGGUUGGGGAGUGUUGAGGGACAAGACAGUCCCUGGUUGGGGCGGGGAGUGUUGAGGGACCAGACAGCCCCUGGUUGGGGAGUGUUGAGGGACCAGACAGCCCCUGGUUGGGGAGUGUUGAGGGACCAGACAACCCUGGGGGCAGUGGUGGUUUCUAAGGUUGUGGUCUCAUCUGUGGUCCUCCUAUCCUCUCCACCUCAUGUCCUCUUCUCCUUCCA
rnacentral:lncRNA from 1 species